ensembl:lncRNA
CAAAGCCUGUUUGGUGGUCUCUUCACACGGACGCGAGUGAAAGUCCCCACAAGACCUGUGGAACAAACCUUCUGCAGUGUGGUGCUGCUGAACAGCCACUCUGGUUUGGUGUUGUCUUUGGCUGAUUUACAAAGCAGUUCCUAGGGCAGGGGAUGGUAGUCUUCCCUCCCUGCCGCGUCUGACUGUUCUCCGGGAUAUUUCUCCUUUCAGGCACCCACAGUGCUUCCUGUGGCUUUAAGUUUAUUCAAUGCAAAAGAAUCCUCUUCAAUUUUACUGAGGUGGCUGACCACGUCCACGACCAAAUCCGUCUCUAAACUGGAAUUCGGUUGCUGACCCAGCCCCAGCCUCGGCCUUCUUGUCGGCACCAGGUGGCACAGCACUCCGUUUGUAGGUAUGUCUGUCGGCUUCCCCUCUUGUGAGUCUGGCAGGUUGCUCACCCUCCAGACCUUUAGGGCAAGGCCUGUCAGCCUCUGGAUGGCUACAGCGUAGGGUGGCAGGCACAAUCUCCAGGGGCAGAUGAAGGUAAUCACGGAGAUACUGGACACCCUCAUUGGUAAGGUUCCAGUAGAAAUGUCUCCAGGCAAACUGUUCCUUCACGUAGCUUCGGGAAUUGAGCGACUGCAUGGCCUUCAUGACAUGAAGAUUGGGCACAUUCUUGUCUGCCAGCUCUGGGUGCUUAGGCAUGUGGACAUCCUUCUUGGCCACCAUGACUCCUCCCUUAAAAAGGAGUUCAUAAAUGGCAAUCCGGUUCUUCUUAGGCAUCAACAUCUGGCAGGUCUCCGCCAUGCACUGGCUUCAUCCUCCCCCUCUCCCUCAGACAAGCUUCACCUACCAGCGGCCCCCUACCCCAUAAAAUUAGCCUCCAACCCCUGUCGCUACUCAGAAAUAGGUGUGUGGGGAGUGGGAGAGAGCUCCCCUGCCAGUAUCCUGGGGAGCAGCAGCCGCUAAGGCGGCAGGAUGGCCCGGAUGGGAGCCGAUGGAACUCGAACUCCCGUUAAGGCGUACUCUUAUUAUUGUUGCUAUUGUAGGUGAGGAAAAACAGUCUUCUACCCUCUUAGAUCUGUGGCUGGCCUAAGAACGAAACUGACAUAAGACAGAUUAACAGGAGAAAAGCAUACGGGCUUCAUAUGUUCACAUUUACACAGGAGUCUUUAAAAAGAAAAUAACAGCCCAAAGAAGCUGUUAGGCCCAAAAGCUUAUAUACCUUUUCACACAAAGAAUGACAAAUUGUGGGGAUAUGACAAGGCAAGGGGCUUGAACAUGGGGCAGUAAAUUGUGGGACAGGGACUAGGAAAUGUAUGGGAGCAACUAAUGCAAGAUACGGAUUAUUUUAGUAAGUUUGUUUGUGCAUGUCCAUUCCUGUGUUGAUUCUAAGUCUCUGACAAAUUUGAUCACCUGCUUUUAGGUGGAAAGGAGGGCAGAGAUCCUUUUCUGCAUCUGCUGUUUCUCAAUUUCCUUUAGCUCAAAAUAAUCAAUAUGCCAAAGCAGCAUAUUUUGGGGUGGCAUAUUCUGAAUUCCUUCAUUAUUAUGAGAGGUUGAUGUUUAAGUGCUCAAGAAUCAGGAAAACCUGAGACAUUCAAGAGGAGUGCCCUGGAUCCUGCAGCCCUCUUCCUAUUGAUUUCCGGUUCCUGUCCCACACAACCUCUCCUUCAGCAGGAGGCCCUGGUGAAGUUUGGAUGCAGAGGCUGCUUCUCAUCAGCGUGACAGGAGGUGCAUCACCACCCACAGUUAAGGGUUAACCAAGCUAAACAGUAUAAGAUAACCUUCAUUUGCAAAUCUAAUGAGCAAAAUUACAGGCUUUAACUCUAAUAGAGGGGGGAAAUGAAGCUCAAGAUCAUUAUUUCCACGUCUAAGAUUAGCAGCUGGAAAAUACAGUACAUCUGUAAAAUGACAGUGUCAGAUACCACAGCUUUGCAUGACACCAGCACACACACAAAGGAAGAAUCACUUCAGAGAGCAGAAGUAGAGGCAGAGUACUCUGAGCGGUCACGACACAUGGAUGCAUCUGAGCUUCCGCCACAUACCAAACCAGGUUACCAUGACAUUAUGUGUUGAAACUACUGAUAAAGGUCUUUGGAAAAACGUCUACUAACCCCUGAAAAAACAUAAGCUGUCUUUCCGUUCUUUUUCUCUUUCACAGGGCAGGAGGAUGUGUUCUGUGCCUGAAGAAAUACUCCCUUAUAUAAAUCAAGUUGGGAGGAUGAAGAUGGAAGGAACAAAUGUGGGAAUAAAAAGUUGGGAAGGAAUUCACUUCAUGGUUUGACUCUGAGACAAAAUUGAUAAGAGCCCUUCCCCCAAAAGACCCCCUUCUUGCCUGGGAACCAGUCUGCCUUUGCAGGACUAACAAAUUAGCUACAAAAUUAGAAAUUAUGGUUUAGGGGUCAUGAAGCCUCUGACUCCAAGAGUCUGAACCUACCCAAAUUUCUCCUUGGGAUAGUAUCACUAUUGUAGAACCUAAGCUCAGUGCUUGAGAUAUUUUGCAGACCUUGCACUUGCUGGAUCAGGGGACACCACCCAGACUGGUAAUCUGGCUCAAAUAGUUCUGCCAUCCCACCCAGGAACAAAAGACAGAAAGAAAAACUCACUUCGACUCCUAUGAUUCCAUCUUCAAUCUGACCAAACAGCAUUCUGCACUUCCCAAGCCCCUACCCACCAAAUUAUGUUUUAAAACCCUGAUCUUCGAAGGUUCUGGGAGACUGGUUUGAAUAAUACUAAAACUCCUGGCCAGGCACGGUGGCUCAUGCUUGUAAUCCCAGCACUUUGGGAGGCCAAGGAAGGCGGAUCAUCUGAGUUCAGAAGUUCGACACCAGCUGGACCAACAUGGAAAAAUCCUAUCUCUACUAAAAAUACAAAAUUAGCUGGGCGUGGUGGCAAAUACCUGUAAUCCCAGCUACUUGCCAGGCUGAGGCAGGAGAAUCACUUGAACGCAGGAGGUAGAGGUUGUGGUGAACUGAGUUCACACCAUUGCACUCUAGCCUGGGCAACAAGAGUGAAACUCCAUCUCAAAAAAAAAAAAAAAAAAAA